rnacentral:rRNA from 1 species
UACGGAGGGGGCUAGCGUUGUUCGGAAUUACUGGGCGUAAAGCGCACGUAGGCGGCCUUGCAAGUCAGAGGUGAAAUCCCCAGGCUCAACCUGGGAAUUGCCUUUGAUACUGCGGGGCUAGAGGCCGGGAGAGGGUAGUGGAAUUCCCAGUGUAGAGGUGAAAUUCGUAGAUAUUGGGAAGAACACCGGUGGCGAAGGCGGCUACCUGGACCGGUACUGACGCUGAGGUGCGAAAGCGUGGGGAGCAAACAGG